UGAGGAACAUGACUUUCGGCGGGGGAUAGCCGGCCCAACGGCCGGGUAAUACCGCGUACGACCACAUGGGGACAUCCCCGAGUGGUGAAAGCAGCAAUGCGCCGAUGGAGUGCCUCGCGGCCUAUCAGCUAGUUGGUGAGGUAACGGCUCACCAAGGCGACGACGGGUAGCUGGUCUGAGAGGAUGGCCAGCCACAGUUGGGACUGAGACACGGCCCAAGACCUCCGUAAGGGAGG
rnacentral:rRNA from 1 species